AAGUUAAGGAAAACUUCGUGGCUGAAGAUGUGAAUGAAGAACAAGAUUACUAUCCUCUGCCAGCAGGGAUCAUAGACGGUAUUUCUAUGUAAACGAACAGUCGGGCGAGUCUCAGUGGGAGUUUCCAGAUGGUGAAGAGGAAGAAGAAGAAAGCCAAGCACAAGAAAAUAGAGAUGAGACUCUUGCCAAACAGACCUUGAAAGACAAAACUGGCACUGAUUCAAAUUCAACAGAAUCCUCUGAAACUUCCACAGGUGAGACAAUUUACCUUGUACUAAUUCAGCCAAAAUGACUUUAGAGGAAAAAUCUUAUUAAUUUACAUUAUUAAAAGAUUUUAUGUCAUA
rnacentral:lncRNA from 1 species